AUUCAAAUAGCUUAUAGGCAUAGAGUAUGGCAUUGAAGAUGCUAAGGAGAACUUGGAUUCUUUGAAUA
rnacentral:tRNA from 1 species